AAACUUACGAAUGUAUUACCGAUAGCUUUAUUUUAAAUAAAAGUUUCAUAUCUACAUGUCUUCUCUCUUGGCACGAGCCUAUAUCGACAGGACAAUCGAAAUGAACCGUGUUAGGGACAGGAGGAGAACCUCACCCUAACAUGAGCAAGGUUGAAGGCCUAGUUAUUUUUAGACCGGAUGGGGGGAGAGGCUCUACAGCGCCUAUACGUGCCCCCACAGCCAUGUUAGGGAUAGGAGGAGAACCUCGCCAAGCUUGCCCCGAAUUGGGAAGGCCCGUACGAAGUCAAGGAAGUAGUCCAGCCCAAAACUUAUUACCUCAAGG
rnacentral:lncRNA from 1 species